AUCUCAUGAUUUGGGAAUUGCAUUAUCUUAUCAUUAAACCUUUUCCACACUUUAGACAAUGGUUCACCAUUUAGUUAGCAAAAGUUGGUGAUUUCAUCCCUUAGUU
rnacentral:snoRNA from 1 species